UGAGGAAUAUUGCACAAUGGGGGCAACCCUGAUGCAGCGACGCCGCGUGGGUGAUGAAGGGCUUCGGCUCGUAAAACCCUUUUCUGUGUGACGAGAACGGACGGUAGCACAGGAAUAAGCCUCGGCUAACUACGUGCCAGCAGCCGCGGUAAAACGUAGGAGGCAAGCGGUAUCCGGAGUUAUUGGGCGUAAAGAGCGUGGAGGUGGCAGUGUAAGUGGCUUGGGAAAGGGCCCGGCUAAACUGGGCGA
rnacentral:rRNA from 1 species